GGUCCCGCCUGCCCAGUGACCAACCACUUAAACGGCCGCGGUAUCCUAACCGUGCAAAGGUAGCGUAAUCACUUGUCCCCUAAAUAGGGACUGGUAUGAACGGCUAAAUGAGGGCCCAACUGUCUCCUUUAAUUAAUCAGUGAAAUUGAUCUACCAGUACAAAAGCUGGUAUAAAUACAUAAGACGAGAAGACCCUGUGGAGCUUAAAAUACUUAUGCCAAAACAAUCCUGCCAAAAAUGACAUAACAUUUUCAGUUGGGGCGACUAAGGAAAUAAACCAACUUCCAAGCCAAGGGCCUACCCGCCCUGCCACAGACAGACAUGUCAACACCAACACGACCCAGAGCUACUCUGAGUAACGAACCAAGUUACCCCAGGGAUAACAGCGCUAUCUUCUUCAAGAGUCCCCAUCGACAAGAAGGUUUACGACCUCGAUGUUGGAUCAGGACACCCAAAUGGUGCAGCCGCUAUUAAAGGUUCGUUUGUUCAACGAUUAAAGUCCUACGUGAUC
rnacentral:rRNA from 1 species